AAAAGACUCACAUUCCGCUGGUUGAGAUUCUCUUCCUGUUGGACUCUGCCUGAGCCAUUACAUUCAGACCUCACCUAUGACCAUGGUGUGAGAAGAAACAAUUCUAAGAACAUAUCUUGCCUUUGGUAAUGGCAUGUAUGUGCAAUUAACAGCUCCAAGUUGAGAAAAAGCCUCCUUUUAGCUAUCCAGAGCUUACACAGGAAGACGACCUCUGCUUUGACCCUGGGAAAAAGAGUGUUUCUUCACAAUCAACAUUCAGCGCAUUUCCCUAAUUAAUGCAAUUUGAUAAAAUGAAACAAA
rnacentral:lncRNA from 1 species